rnacentral:rRNA from 1 species
GGGGCAGCGCGGGAUAGCAAUAUCCUGGCGGCGACCGGCGGAAGGGUGCGUAACGCGUGAGCGACAUGCCCGUUGCCCGGGGACAACCGGUGGAAACGCCGACUAAUCCCCGAUGGGAUACGAUGCUUCAUGGCAUUGUAUUGAAAGUUACGGCGGCGACGGAUUGGCUCGCGUCCGAUUAGCUUGUUGGCGGGGUAACGGCCCACCAAGGCUACGAUCGGUAGGGGUUCUGAGAGGAAGGCCCCCCACAAUGGGACUGAGACACGGCCCAUACUCCUACGGGAGGCAGCAGUGAGGAAUAUUGGUCAAUGGGCGGAAGCCUGAACCAGCCAUGCCGCGUGCGGGAAGGAGGCCCUAUGGGCUGUGAACCGCUUUUGCCUGGGGGCAAUAAGGGCGUCGCGCACGUCCGAUGAGAGUACCAGGCGAAUAAGCAUCGGCUAACUCCGUGCCAGCAGCCGCGGUAAUACGGGGGAUGCGAGCGUUAUCCGGAUUCAUUGGGUUUAAAGGGUGCGUAGGCUGUGCGUCAAGUCGGGGGUGAAAUUCCGGUGCUCAACACCGGGGCUGCCCUUGAUACUGUCGCGCAGGAGUGCGGAUGCCGCCGGAGGAAUGAGUGGUGUAGCGGUGAAAUGCUUAGAUAUCACUCAGAACACCGAUUGCGAAGGCAUCUGGCGAAUCCGUAACUGACGCUGAGGCACGAAAGCGUGGGGAUAGAACAGGAUUAGAUACCCUGGUAUUCCACGCCGUAAACGAUGAUGGCUAACCGCCGGCGACACACUGUCGGUGGCCAAGCGAAAGCGAUAAGCCAUCCACCUGGGGAGUACGUCGGCAACGAUGAAACUCAAAGGAAUUGACGGGGGCCCGCACAAGCGGAGGAACAUGUGGUUUAAUUCGAUGAUACGCGAGGAACCUUACCCGGGCUCGAACGGCACCUGGAUCGCCCAGAGAUGGGCGAGUCUUCGGACAGGUGUCGAGGUGCUGCAUGGUUGUCGUCAGCUCGUGCCGUGAGGUGUCGGCUCAAGUGCCAUAACGAGCGCAACCCUUGCCGCCAGUUGCCAUCAGGUGAUGCUGGGCACUC